UGACUCCCUCUUUUAUGGUUUUUCCUAUCCUAUUAUACCCCUAUUCUAUCCCCCACUCAACCUUCCUGAACUAUCUUUAAUAGAUGUUCUUUGCAGGGUGGGAGAUUUGAAUCUACAUUCAUUUUCUGUAGAUUUUUGCCAAACAAUUUGUUGAGAAAGCUAUCUUUACCCAGGUGUACAUUAUUAAUGUAUUUCACAGAAUUCAUGUGACCAUUGUUAUAUGGAUUUAUAUCAGGUUCCUCAAUUGUAGUCCAUUAGUCUUUGAGCCUAUUCAAACCACCACAUUUCACUCGCUGGCCCCCAUAGGCUUACAGUCAUAUAUCAAUGCAAAAUUGUAUUCAGUUCAACUUCAGAAUCCCUAUAAUCUACCAUAAAAUAAACAAUGUUUAAACAUCCAAAGCUCAAAGUAUCCUCUGAAACUCAAGGCAAUCUCUUAACUGUAAUUCCCUAUAAAAUCAAAAUUUUAAAAAAUCACUUUCACUUUCUUCCAACAUACAAUGGUGCAGAAUAUACAUUGCUGCUCUAAAAAGAAAUAAAGGGAACAUGGUAAUAAAAUACUGAACUAAAGGAAGACUGCAACACAGCAGGACAAACUCUGAAUUCUGGAUUUUCAUGUCUGAUAACAAAGCACUCUUCAGAUCUGCAACUCCUUUAGCUUUGUUGACUGCAACAUACUCCUCUCUUUUGGGCUGGUUUUACAUCCUUUUAGCAUAUCUCCAUGGCAGGUAUCCCACAAAUCUGUGAUCUCUAACAUGCUGGUGUCUCUGUCUCUAAUACAAUAUGGGCUUCGCCUUCACAGCUUCACACAGUGGACUCUCCGGGCCUCUGUACAGGGACUCCACUGACCCACAGCUGACCCCGGCUGCUUUUAUUAGCCAUGGAAGAAGAUUCCACAACUCUUUUCUUGUAUUCUUUAUCCUAAAACCAGAACUACAUUGCCAGACCUGCCAAGUUCUGGUGCUUGUUAGGGCUGGAACUUGGUCCCCUUAUGUAAUUACAUUUGCAUGAGCUUUCUAUUAUUGAUGGUUUCCUUCAAUGUCUUCCCACAAGUAGGAAGCUUAGCCAAAUAUUAUCUUGCCAUGAGACCUCCAUUCCACUUAUUCCAUUUACCAUUGAGAUUAAAAAAAACUCUGUAUUUCCUUGAGCACUGGACUUACACAUUUUAAUUCCUGGUACUCCUUUUCUCCUCAAACUGUACCUUUUGUAUUUCUAUUUGUCCAGAUUGCUCCUUUUCCUUAUAGAUUUGCAUCAGAGUGAUUACUAAUAACCGUUCGGCAGAGUCAAUCUUAGACUGUCUUGAAAUCUCCUCUGCCAAUGACAUUGAUUCAAAACUCUUCUAGUUAGCCUCAGGAAGAUUUUUAGGAUAAGGGUAAAAAUCAGUCAACCUUUUUGCCAAAAUAUUGGAAGAAUGGUCUUGAGGCCAGUUACUCAUAUUCUUCCCAUCUGAAACCUCUUAAGCUGGCCCCCCACAGUUCAAAUCAUUCUCAGCACUGUCCUCCAUGUUCCUAUUAGAAUGUCCUAUUAAGUACCACUUAAAACAUCCUACAGUUUUUCUAGUGCAGAGUCCCACAGUCUUGCACAACCCUCCAACAAACAGCAUUGUCAGGUCUGUUGCAGCAAUACUGCAGUCCCUGGUACCAAGUUCUGUCUUCAUCACUAUCUUAUUGCCAUGACUAAACAUCAUGACCAGGCAACACAUAUGAAAGAAAGCAUUUAAUUUGGGGUUUGCUUAUAGUUUCAGACGUUUAGUCCAUUAUCAACAUAGCAGGAAGCAUGGCAUCAGGCACACAGUAGCAUGGGACAUGUCAACAGGCAAGCUAGUAGUGGAGAAGUAGCCAAGAGCUACAUGCUGAUCUAUAGACCAAGAGGAUGAAGCUGGGCUUGGCAUGUGUUUUGAAACCUCAAAGAAUACCCCAAAUGAUACACUUCCUCAAACAAGGCUACACCUACUACAGUGAAGACACGCCUCCCUAUUUGCUCAAGUAGAGCCACUCACUGGGAACUAAGUAUUCAACUAUAGAGGCCAUUUGUAUUCAAACCACCACAUUCUUCCAAGUCUAUUAUUUUGCCAGUAUGGAGCUUUUAAAAAAAUCACAUUAUAGUAUAAUUUUAGGUCAUGUAUUGUGGUAUCUCCAACAGUAUUCUUUAUGCUUAGAAUUUCUUUGCCUAUAUGUCAUCUUUUGUGUUUCCAUAUGCAUCAUCAUAAAAAGCCUUUAGAAAUUAGGGUUGAGCAGAUCAUACCUAAAACCCACAGGCUUAAAUGUCAAACCUGUAAUCAAUGAUAUACCAAACUAGGACAAUAUAAAAACAUUUCCCUUAAAACUUGGAAUUAGACAAGUGUGCCCAGUAUUUCUAUACUUAUUCCAUACUUUUUUUGAAGUCUUAUCCACAGCAGCUGGACAAGAGAAAAAUAUAAAAGAAGCCAGAAGUAGGAAAAGAGUGAGUAAAAUGAUUUUGUACUUCAAAGAUCCUCAAAUAUAAUAAACUGUCUAAGUUCCAGAAUACAAAGUCAGCAUAAAAAUGAAUAGACUUCAUGUGUACCAAUAAUGAACUUGCUGAGAAGGGAAUUAGCAAAAAUUAUGACAUGAUAACUUUCUUUACUCUCCAAAAUAUCUAGGAAUAAGCCUUACUAAGGAUAUCAAUGACACAGACAAUGAAAACGUCAGAACAAUGGAAAAGAAGAUGCUACAUGAUAGAGAGAACACCCGUGCUCCUGGAUUUGGAGAAUUAAAAUUAUUUCUGAGAAUGGCCACAUUACCAAAAUCCUAGAAUUUAUAUGAAGGACAAGAACAACAGCUAUCCAAUUAACCAAAUCUAGAGAGAAACAGUUUUACAUGGAAAAGAUUCCAUAGAUAACCAGGAGUACAGAAGAUGUUCUGGCUUAACAGUCUUGAAUAAAAAAGUUACAAGCUUCUCUCCUUGUGUUCUGGAGCUGCUCACAAGAUAAGAAAAUGUAUCUUCAGGCUUGGAGUGCUUGUCAAUGCCAGCCCUUGUCGAAGAGUACUGAAACGCCCAGCGCAUUGCCAUGGUAAAUGUCUCUGCCCCUUACCAUUUACUCGAGGAAUGUAUUAUGGCCUUGAGAAGUAGCUUCUGUAGCCUUUUUUAUUAUUUCCAAAAGUUUAUUGUUAAAUGUUUCUAUAAGCUGGUUGAAAAAAAAGAGUUAAAGAGAAUUAGAGCAAAGAAUGAUUGCUGGAAUGAAUAAAGUGCUUGACCCUCA